GGAUUUCUUGCUUUGCAGUCCACCCCUAGGACACCUUCCAUUGUGCAAAUUUGUGUUAAAGUGGGCAGAUUACUAAAACAGAGGAAAAAGAAAACCAAGCUCAUCUCAGAGCUUUUUGAUUUCUCCCCGUAACUCUCCCGAGUCGAUAAGAGAAAAAAGAUCUCAAAAGGGAAACGAUCAAAUUCUCCAGUUAUGUCUGGAAGGCAAAUCGAAGAGCCCGUAGAUAGUGACAUUUGCCUCGUGAACUCUUACCAUCAGAACUUAAUUCAAGGUACUCCAGUGUCUCCCUGCACCAUGGUUUCUCCUGAUGAUUUACCUCCGUUUCUUGAACAUAUUCUUGAGGAAUAAGCAGCUUUUAAGGGGAUCAAUUGAUUUCUUUUGGGUUGAGUUAUCUUAUGGGAUGUAUGUUUUUCAUAUCUACAUUGUAUUUGUUUUGUCUCUUGUGUGGUUUUAUGUCGGUGUCCUUAGGUUUUCUGAUUUGGUUUAUUGCCUUCCAGGAGUUUGUCAUUUUGUUUUAGUUAGUUUUCGCUGUUGGUCUUUUGGUCCUUCGGUGGUGUCAUUUUGUUCUUGGCUUUGCCUGCGGUAGUUUAAUUUGUGUCAUGUACCUUCUGUUGUUCUCUUCUUAUUUUAUAUUUUCUAUUCCCUGCUUAAAAAUUGGUGAUUGCCGAUUUGGCUUUGGAGCAACAAUUGUUUUUGGGUUUCAGUGGCUUGGUUCUUCUUUGGUGGGCUUCGGUUGUGAGGGUGGAUUUUGAGCUAGUCAGCUUGUUCAUCAUCUUCGGACAACUCUUUUUUAUUUUGGUGGUAGCUUUGUUUCGCAAGUGUUUUAUGGUGGUCAUCUGACUCUCAUUCCUUUUAGUUCUUUUAGGCCCUUCUUCUUGUCAAGCUUAAUGGAUGCUCGAAAAAGAUGAGUAAGAAGGUGUAUUUGACUUCAGUUUUUUAUUUUUUUAUUUUGCUUUGUCGUUGUUUUUUGGCUGGCACUCUUCAAAGGAAAUUGUUGGUUGUAAUUUGGCUGUCUCUCCCUAGUGCGAGUGUGUCCCCUGAAGAGCCACAAUUGGGAAGUUUGUUGUUAGUUAAGGAGGCUUAGAAAUGGCAAUUGUAAGGUCAUGUAGUAGUAGCUAGAAGCAAAAAGAAGUGAUAAGCUUGAGGGCUGAGAGAUUCUUCUUGGAUGAAAGUUCAAGAUGAGAAGUGUUAUGCUACCAAGGUAUCAGGCAUCUUCAAUUGAAAUGAGUGGGCUGGGUUUGGAAGCAAGUUUUUUUUGAAGUUUAUAUUAGGAUAGCUGUAAGUCUUGUGUCAUUUGAUUGCCUAAGUGUAGCUAGGUUAUGUUUUUUGGGUUGCUUUGUUUCUUGGUGAAGUAUUCUCCAUUUUAUCAUGCAACAUCUCAUAGAAGUUUUAUGGGUGGUAAUACACUAUGUUAUAUUCUCCUAAUUCAAUAAAAAUUCUUGCUUAUCAAAAGAACGGCAGGAAUCUUUAGGUUCACCGUACUUUUACUUUUGAUUUUGAUUUGUUUCUGUUUACCUGCAGACCUAGUAAUAAAUACAAGACUUGAGAUGGGUUUCCAGUUAACUUCUAUGUUUAUCUCAAUCGCAUUUUUUCGCAUCCAUUUUCUAUUGGAUUUUGUAUAUUUCCUUUUUGGAUUCCUUGCAGGAAAUAUUAACAUACACUUAGACACCCAUUCAAUCUACAAAAGAGCAGUCAGUUUCC
rnacentral:misc_RNA from 1 species